GACGAACGCUGGCGGCGUGCUUAACACAUGCAAGUCGAACGAUGAAGCUGGAGCUUGCUCCGGUGGAUUAGUGGCGAACGGGUGAGUAACACGUGAGUAAUCUGCCCUUGACUCUGGGAUAACUGCGGGAAACUGUAGCUAAUACCGGAUACGACACCUUCGGGCAUCCGAUGGGUGUGGAAAGAAUUUCGGUCAAGGAUGAACUCGCGGCCUAUCAGCUAGUUUGUGAGGUAAUGGCUCACCAAGGCGACGACGGGUAGCCGGCCUGAGAGGGUGACCGGCCACACUGGGACUGAGACACGGCCCAGACUCCUACGGGAGGCAGCAGUGGGGAAUAUUGCACAAUGGGCGAAAGCCUGAUGCAGCAACGCCGCGUGAGGGAUGAAGGCCUUCGGGUUGUAAACCUCUUUUAGUUGGGAAGAAGCGAAAGUGACGGUACCAACAGAAAAAGCACCGGCUAACUACGUGCCAGCAGCCGCGGUAA
rnacentral:rRNA from 1 species